rnacentral:rRNA from 1 species
GACGGAGGGUGCUAGCGUUGUUCGGAAUCACUGGGCGUAAAGGGCGCGCAGGCGGCCGGAUCAGUCGGGUGUGAAAGCCCGGGGCUCAACCCCGGAACGGCGCCCGAGACGGCGGGGCUGGAGACCGGGAGAGGAGGGUGGAAUAGCCAGUGUAGAGGUGAAAUUCGUAGAUAUUGGCUGGAACACCGGUGGCGAAAGCGGCUCUCUGGCCCGGGUCUGACGCUGAGGCGCGAAAGCGUGGGGAGCAAACAGG